GCGAAGGGGGAAUACGCGUAGGUAACCUGCCUCAUAGCGGGGGAUAACUAUUGGAAACGAUAGCUAAGACCGCAGAAGAGUAAUUAACACAUGUUAGUUAUUUAAAAGGAGCAAUUGCUUCACUGUGAGAUGGACCUGCGUUGUAUUAGCUAGUUGGUGAGGUAAAGGCUCACCAAGGCGACCAUACAUAGCCGACCUGAGAGGGUGAUCGGCCACACUGGGACUGAGACACGGCCCAGACUCCUACGGGAGGCAGCAGUAGGGAAUCUUCGGCAAUGGACGGAAGUCUGACCGAGCAACGCCGCGUGAGUGAAGAAGGUUUUCGGAUCGUAAAGCUCUGUUGUUAGAGAAGAACGUUGGUAGGAGUG
rnacentral:rRNA from 1 species